CUUGUACUCCCUCCGUCCGAAAAUACUUGUCAUUGAAAUGGAUGUAUCUAGAUGUAUUUUAGUUAUAGACACAUCCAUUUUGAUGACAAGUAAUUCCGGAUGGAGGGAGUACUUG
rnacentral:pre_miRNA from 1 species